rnacentral:rRNA from 1 species
UACGGAGGGUGCAAGCGUUGUCCGGAAUCAUUGGGCGUAAAGCGUUCGUAGGCGGUAUGUCAAGUCUGGUGUUAAAUCCCGGGGCUCAACUCCGGCACGGCACUGGAUACUGGCAAACUAGAAUGAGGUAGAGGUAAUGGGAAUUCCUGGUGUAGCGGUGAAAUGCGCAGAUAUCAGGAGGAACGUCGGUGGCGUAAGCGCAUUACUGGGCCUUAUUGACGCUGAGGAACGAAAGCCGGGGGAGCAAAUG